GUCAGAUUUGAGAGGCAGAAGAAAGUUUCAGAGCAAGUCUGAGGAGGUCUGCACCAUCUGGACACUGGCCAACACCAUAAUGAUCUGUUACAUCAACGAAACAGACUGACUGGGAAAAAUGGGCAAAAGAUCAGUUGGUUAAAUACGAGGCACCAAGUGACCACGCAUAUCACACUGCUGGUUUCUUUUGGACCUACCAAGCUUACCGUCAGACAGGUCGAGCAGAAAUUCACCGUGAAUUGGAAAUGGUACAUCUGAGAUCAAGCCCAGGCAGGACAGAAGGUACAAGUAAGUUGCAUGAACAAUUUGUCUCAAUUCACAUGACACCCACUACUGUUGCACCAAUACCUUUCUUGAGCUCAUAUGUAAG